rnacentral:rRNA from 1 species
GGAGUCUAGCAUGUGCGCGAGUCAUUGGGACUAACUAAACCUAAAGGCGCAAUGAAAGUGAAGGCGCGCUUUACGCGCGCUGAGGGAGGAUGUGUUCCGCCAAGGCGGCGUUCCGCACUCCCGGGGCGUUUCGUUCUCAUCGCGAGAAGAGGCGCACCCAGAGCGUACACGCUGGGACCCGAAAGAUGGUGAACUAUGCCUGGUCAGGACGAAGUCAGGGGAAACCCUGAUGGAGGUCCGUAGCGAUUCUGACGUGCAAAUCGAUCGUCGGAACUGGGUAUAGGGGCGAAAGACUAAUCGAACCAUCUAGUAGCUGGUUCCCUCCGAAGUUUCCCUCAGGAUAGCUGGUGCUCGUUUAGCGAGUCUCAUCCGGUAAAGCGAAUGAUUAGAGGCAUUGGGGUCGAAACGGCCUCAACCUAUUCUCAAACUUUAAAUGGGUGAGAUCUCCGGCUUGCUUAGACGUUGAAGCCGGUGACUAAAGGAUCAGAGUGCCAAGUGGGCCAUUUUUGGUAAGCAGAACUGGCGCUGUGGGAUGAACCAAACGCAGAGUUAAAGCGCCUAAAUCGACGCUUAUGGGAUACCAUGAAAGGCGUUGGUAACUUAAGACAGCAGGACGGUGGCCAUGGAA